CUGGCGGCACGCCUAACACAUGCAAGUCGAACGCAGUAGCAAUACUGAGUGGCAAACGGGUGAGUAUAAUGUGGGAAUCUGCCUUUUGGUUCGGAAUAACACGGGGAAACUUGUGCUAAUACCGAAUAAGCCCUUACGGGGAAAGUUUUAAUGCCGAAAGAUGAGCCCGCACUUGAUUAGCUAGUUGGUAAGGUAAAAGCUUACCAAGGCAACGAUCAAUAGCUGUUCUUAGAGGAAGACCAGCCACAUUGGGACUGAGACACGGCCCAGACUCCUACGGGAGGCAGCAGUGGGGAAUCUUGCACAAUGGGGGAAACCCUGAUGCAGCGAUGCCGCGUGAGUGAAGAAGGCCCUUGGGUUGUAAAACUCUUUCGUCGGGGAAGAAAAUGACUGUACCCGAAUAAGAAGGUCCGGCUA
rnacentral:rRNA from 1 species